CUUCUUUAUCACGAGUUUUUAAAAAGUUGCCUCUGACUAUAUCGCAGAUUGGCUGAGUUUGAGCUCGCUACACAUACUGCAAAAAACGACAGCGCUGACUGAUAGUCACUAAAAUUCUGGGUCGAACGAAAAAUGGUUACUUUGACUCCCACCUUUUCAAUGGUAUUAGCACGUUGUGAUGUAGAGCCAGCCUCGUUCGACAGAAAGCCACCGUUAAGUCUUACAAAUCCUCAAAUCCAUGCGACUCUCCAUAAUGUUGAUAAUUCGCUGGUUACUCGAUUGAACACAUUCGUUCUGAGUGGGCAAUCAUUUGUGAAUUUUGAAUUAUUCUUAGGCAAAAUUCCUGAGGCGAAGUUUUUAAUGGAACAUGAGAAUACUGUUAUUUCAUUGGAUUUCAGAGCCACUGGAUUUUUCCAUCUCCGCAAUUAGCGCCGAUAUAAAACUUUUCCAUUCCCACUGCUCUACACAUCGAUCUAACCUCAGUAUGAAUUUGCGCUUCUAAUAUCGCACAGAUGCUAAUGGAGUCGAUAAAAGAAAGGCGAAAAAACUAAGUGGGUAGAGGAAUUGUGGGUCGAGCAUACGAAUAUCACUUCAUAAAAGACACGAUUAGAUAAAUAGAAGAUCAGAUAUGCGUGCUCUAAUGGCCAUGACCUCAGAGUGAUAAUUGAGUCGACGUCUAACUGGAUGUCACAAAUUACUGUGAUACAACUGCCCAGUAAUCUUGCACGGUGGAAUGAGAGGAUCUUCUAUUGGAUGCGUCGCGCCGACAGUGUCAUCCAUGGAUUACUCCAAGCAGCGCAUUAACAAGCCCAUCGAAAAGUCUUAUGGCUUAAGUGACAAUACGAAUGUUUGAAAAAAAGUUGUAACUAGAACGAGCGCUCAAUAUUAUCGACAAAUCCGGCAAUUAAAUUAUGCAACGAAGCGUGUAUCGAAUGACACUGAGCAGUGUCGGCGGAUGAAUCUCGCACUGCAGUCGUAUAUGCAUGAUCUUUCUCGAUGGGUUUCGUCAGCAACUUGACAACGAGAAAUGACGACGCCGUUGACGACGACAAUCGCGCCAGGAGGGGGAUUAUUUCCAUCUCCGUCUUGCUCAGUCUCUCUGGCGCUCUCGCGACCGCGACCACUUGUUGUAACUCGAGAUUCGACGCGAAGGUGGGCCUCGCUCUCCACGGGCUAACUCUCCUCCAGCUCUCCUCCAGCUUCUCUGAUUCUCAUCUCUCGACUCGCCGAGUACGCGACCACCGCCCAAGUUUUACGAAGGGGGACAUGAGAAGAGAGGCGAGUAUACGCGCGACCAUCUCGGACUCGCGUCUCGCACACUGUUGCCUACGUCUGGAGCGGUGCGAAGAAAGAUCUCUCGAGACUUCGAAGGUCUCUCUCGCUCUCGAGCCCCUCCUAUCUUGCUUUUCCUCCCGUCGAGCGCUCGCACUCCCUUCUUUUCGUUUCUCAACUCGCUACUACAUAAAAGAUCGUCGCAAUGAAAGUUUACGGGCAAUUGUCGUCACCGGAACUGCCGAGGACUCGAAAAGUGCAUAUCGAAGUAACGAUUUUGUCAUCUUUAGAUUCAAUUUGAACUCUGCUCAACGACGCGUGUUGGCCUCUAUUGAUAAUAAUUCUUUCGUCAUUUUUAAAAAAGAAGAAAAUCUAGUGGUGACAUCCAAGAGCCUCGGAGCUGCGCUUACGGACCGUUGAAACUCUAUUUAUUGUCAUAGCACCACAACAACGCUGUCGCUUCAGUGCCAACGCAAUGCUACAGUUUUCAAACGUCCACCCACUCUUUCAGUGAACCAUCCAGAUCGAACUUGGAUUUGAGUCCGAUGAUCGUGCAUUGAUCUAAAAGAAACUGUAAUUAAAAAAAAGAAAACUUCAAAGGGAAGGAAAAAAAUCAUUUUUCGACGCUAAUAUAUGGAUUUUUACAUACACGACCACCAUCGAAGCAUCGUUUGCGAUAGGCCAGACUGUAGAGGGGCUUGUCGGGGAUAAAUAAGUCUGUUCGCGUUCCAGGAACGCGCAUCGGCGCCGGGCCAUUACGUAAAAGCUCUUGCGCAAACUUGAGAGCUCUUGCCUGCGCUCGCGAUGCAUCUUCAAACGCAAGCGGGACGUAAGGAGAUCUCGUCUUUAUAAGAGACGUCUACAUGUGUAUAGCUAUAUUCAUCUACUGGCUGGAUUUCCCCAACGGUUUGUAAGCUUGAUGGACGCGUUCGUCUUUCUCUCCUUCAUAUCUUCCGAUCCGAAUUGCGAAUCUUCUCAGCCCGACUUUGUAAUAACCGUUCAACCGGUAUGCGUUGGGACAAGUAUUAUUAAAGCGAUGAAACUCGAGACGGAAACUACAUGAAAUGUACGAUUCGACUCCAACUUAGUUCGAAACGAGCGAUUCAAAGGCUUCUGGCCUAACAUUAUAUUGGCUAAUAAAUCAUCAAAUGAA
rnacentral:lncRNA from 1 species